rnacentral:rRNA from 1 species
UACGAAGGGGGCUAGCGUUGCUCGGAAUGACUGGGCGUAAAGGGCGCGUAGGCGGCUCAUACAGUCAGAUGUGAAAUUCCUGGGCUUAACCUGGGGGGCUGCAUUUGAUACGUGUGGGCUUGAGUGGGGAAGAGGGUCGUGGAAUUCCCAGUGUAGAGGUGAAAUUCGUAGAUAUUGGGAAGAACACCGGUGGCGAAGGCGGCGACCUGGUCCUUUUACUGACGCUGAGGCGCGAAAGCGUGGGGAGCAAACAGG